CACUGGGCCUCAUUCUAUACGUGAAUCUUGCUUUCAGUAUCACACGAAGUCGUCUGCUGUUUUACAGUACUGAUUAUUUUUUCAUGGGAUUCCUGCGAGACAUCACCGUUAAUCAUCCCUGAUGGGCUGGACAUGGGAUCCUUUGCUAUCUAUGUCCUAGGGAACUGCCGAUCAAUAUGCUAAUUUUGGUGACUGAUGCAUGUAUUUUUAAACAUCAAUGGAUUUCUCGGCUGAACAAACCAUCGCAAUGCAUACUUUGACUUUGAGAUGGGCUGGGCAUGGGAUCCUUUGCUACGUCCAAGGGAACUAACGAUCAAGAUGGAAUCAAUUUUGGUAACUGUUGGAUGCAUUAAUUAUUGAACAUUAAUAGAUUUCCCGGCAGAGCAAACCAGCACAAGGCAUUUUUUUGAGUGUAUAUUUCAGGACCCACAUAACUGCUAUAUGGUAUUUCUCCUGACCAUUCUUUGGGGACUUUCACAAUGUCAAGAGUACAAAGAGUUUUCAAGAGAUGUUUAUCGAAUUUGGUGUCAUAGACCAACUCUACGAAAAUUUCUGCUGUCGCCAUGUCUGCCGCUGGAAAUGGGUUAGCAUUAUUUUUCACCAGGUUUUAUCAGUUUAUAGAUUUUCUUUAUGGGCUGUGGGAGAAGGACACUUGUCGUCAUGCUUUCACUAGUUUUAGAACUGCUAUAUAGUCGUUGUCUUUUCCAAAUAGAAGGUCAACAGACCGACAAAACCUCUCCAUAUCUUUCUAUUGAAGUAUCAUAUCCUUCCUCUUUUAGUCAAGAUAGUAGUAAUUAGCAGGUCUGAAAAAUGACUUGAUCAAGUUACGAAGGUUUUCAUCAUUUGGCUUAUUUCUCCUGGUUAUCUUCUUUUAGCCUACUGUGCUACAUCACUGAAACCGAAUGAGCUUUCGUCUCUUGUACCUCCUUAACAGUGAUCAGACAGUAUCCAUUUAAUAAUAAACCACUAAUGAUAGAAUAUACAUGACAAUGAUCUACACAAAUCACUAUAAAUCUAAGUGGGUGAAAUCCUCCUAUCCUGGAAGACUGUUUUUAUAAUACACACAUUAGUAUUGUUUAAAUAAAAAAAAUUAUAAGUAUGUGGAUCACAGUCACGCUACUAUUAAAUUUGUUACUACAACGGUAUUGAUCGCAGAUGACAAGUUUCCUGAAUCCGUUUACAUACUUUGUCAAACUUGGAGUAAGUAAAGUACUGACAAGUCAGUUUUACUGGCAUCUAUCGAAAAGUACAGUCACCACUAUUAAAAGCUUGUCGUAUUUCUUUGCCCAGGUUCUCAAGGUUUCUUAUUCGAACGUUCAUAUUUCACGCUUGUUCAUAUGCUUCACAUUGAUGGGGAUUUCGUGGAGAAGAAUGCGGGUUCUUUUCCUGUGCUCUGGUAAGCAAAAUUCACGGGUAAUCCGCAUUUUUUUUUUUUUAAUCCUUCCUAUAAAUUAUUUACCGUUUUGCUACUUGAGGCGUAUUUUUCUAAAGUAGCGCAAUGCACAACUCCACAGUUUAUAAUCGUUCUUUAAUUGAUGCAUUAUCCUUGCCGUUGACUCUUCCCUCUUUAAGGAUCGUUGAGACAUGGGAAUCUGCUUUUCUUAUGUCUGAGUAAUAUUGUAUUAAAUGCUAUCUAUGCCCUUGGUUGGUAAAAACUGCCUAUCAUUUUGCAGUAUAAAGUAAAAAAAAAAAAAAAAAUCAAAGAAUUGCCAAGCUUUCAGUGAAAACUUGAGAAUUUUUGAAAGUUUCAAAUCAAAGCUGGGAAAGGGAACAAAAAAAUCGUAAGAAAAUUAGUGAAAAUUUUGUGAGUCACCCAAGAAAUGCUGAAUAGUCCUAGACUGCUCGAAAUCUUUAACAGGUGCUCGAGAUACUGCGUAUUUGAGCGUUUUCAUAAUCAGAAGGGGAUGGGGGAAUAAACUACUAAAUAUGGGUAAAAAAUGUUUAUAUAUAAUUUCUGUCGUCUUCACUGGAGUGGAUUUUUUUUAUAUACUCACCAAAAUUCGCCCCCUUCGCUAAAAUAUGUCAACAACGGCAUGUAAAAGUACGUCCUAACCUAAGGCAACUGGGUAUUACGACGUCCCCCCAUUAAUCUAUUUGAGAGUCCAUUUUGAAUGUA